rnacentral:rRNA from 1 species
AACAGCUGCUUCAAGUGGUGCCCACGAAUAUUGAGCCUAAAACGAGUGUAGCGGGCUUGGCCAGUUCUCCGUGAAAUCCACCAACUUAAUUGGUGGGCGCGCGGGGAAUACUACCAGGCUUGGGAAUGGGGGAGGUCAGGGGUACUGCGGGGGGAGGAGUAAAAUCCUUUAAUCCUCGCAGGACCAUCGGUGGCGUAGGCGCCUGACCAAAACAUGUCCGACCGUGAGACUCGAAGGCCAGGGGAGCAAAUCG